CCUACGGGUGGCAGCAGUGGGGGAUAUUGCACAAUGGGGGGAACCCUGAUGCAGCGACGCCGCGUGGGUGAAGAAGCGCCUCGGCGCGUAAAGCCCUGUCAGCAGGGAAGAAAAUGACGGUACCUGAAGAAGAAGCCCCGGCUAACUACUUGCCAGCAUCCGCGGUAAUACGUAGGGGGCAAACGUUAGCCGGAUUUACUGGGUGUAAAGGGGGCGCAGACGGCGAUGCAAGCCAGGAGUGAAAGCCCGGGGGUCAACCCCGGGAGUGCUCUUGGAACUGCGUGGCUGGAGUGCAGGAGGGGCAGGCGGAAGUCCUGGUGUAGCGGUGAAAUGCGUAGAUAUCAGGAGGAACACCGAUGGCGAAGGCGGCCUGCUGGACUGAAACUGACGUUGAGGCACGAAAGCGUGGGGAGCAAACAGGAUUAGAUACCCGGGUAGUC
rnacentral:rRNA from 1 species